rnacentral:rRNA from 1 species
UACGAAGGGGGCUAGCGUUGCUCGGAAUCACUGGGCGUAAAGCGCACGUAGGCGGCUUUUUAAGUCAGGGGUGAAAUCCUGGAGCUCAACUCCAGAACUGCCUUUGAUACUGAGAAGCUUGAGUCCGGGAGAGGUGAGUGGAACUGCGAGUGUAGAGGUGAAAUUCGUAGAUAUUCGCAAGAACACCAGUGGCGAAGGCGGCUCACUGGCCCGGUACUGAUGCUGAGGUGCGAAAGCGUGGGGAGCAAACAGG